AAAACGGCGGUCGCCGCGCCCGCCUAGUCCUCAAACGGGGCGACGGCUCGGUGCCUGAAUAUGAGAUGGUUGCUCCCCAUCUCACCGCAUG
rnacentral:lncRNA from 13 species